CAGCUACUCCCUCCGUUCGGAAUUACUUGUCUCGGAAAUGGAUGUAUCUAGAACUAAAAUAUGUCUAGAUACAUCUAUUUCCGCGACAAGUAAUUCUGAACGGAGGGAGUACUUU
rnacentral:pre_miRNA from 1 species